UACGUAGGGUGCGAGCGUUAAUCGGAAUUACUGGGCGUAAAGUGUGCGCAGGCGGCCGAGCAAGUCGAGUGUGAAAGCCCCGGGCUUAACUUGGGAAUUGCGCUCGAAACUACUUGGCUGGAGUGUGGCAGAGGAAGGUGGAAUUCCAGGUGUAGCGGUGAAAUGCGUAGAGAUCUGGAGGAACACCGAUGGCGAAGGCAGCCUUCUGGGCCAACACUGACGCUCAUGCACGAAAGCGUGGGGAGCGAACGGG
rnacentral:rRNA from 1 species